ensembl:snRNA U6 U6 spliceosomal RNA
GUGCUCGCUUCGGCAGCACAUAUACUAAAAUUAGAAUGAUACAAAGAAGAUUAGCAUGGCCCCUGCACAAGGAUGACAUGCAAAUUCAUGAAGCGUUCCAUAUAUUU